rnacentral:sRNA from 1 species
UUUCGGCCAGGAUAUCGGCGCGGGCCUG